CUUAUUCGAAUCAACCCAUGAAAAUUGGUUGGGUGAUGAAUUUGUGAAUUGUGAGAGAAAAUCGGAGAGCUAGUUUGUAAAGUAGCAGCAGCAGUAGCAGAAAGGAUAAAUGAAGGUGUUGGGAUGGAUGAUCAAGUGGAUCCUGCUGUGAGGAUAAUCUCAGUGCGCACGUGUUUCAUCAUCAUCAUCACCUUCAUUCUUCACUGUGUGAAUAUGAUGUAUGCACAGAAUUUAGGAGUUUGAAACAAUUGAAUUCCCAGAUCAUAAAAAGAGAGUUCCUUUUGUCAGACUCAAAGCCUCUGCAAACUCCCCCCAAACUGAAAAGGAAACAAAGUGAGGGUUGGUU
rnacentral:precursor_RNA from 1 species